rnacentral:rRNA from 1 species
AAGAACCAACAGGGAUUACCUCAGUAACGGCGAGUGAAGCGGUAACAGCUCAAAUUUGAAAUCUGGCCCUUUUAGGGUCCGAGUUGUAAUUUGUAGAAGAUGCUUUGGGUGUGGCUCCGGUCUAAGUUCCUUGGAACAGGACGUCAUAGAGGGUGAGAAUCCCGUAUGUGACUGGCGGCCUUCGCCCGUGUAAAGCUCUUUCGACGAGUCGAGUUGUUUGGGAAUGCAGCUCUAAAUGGGAGGUAUAUUUCUUCUAAAGCUAAAUACUGGCCAGAGACCGAUAGCGCACAAGUAGAGUGAUCGAAAGAUGAAAAGCACUUUGGAAAGAGAGUUAAACAGUACGUGAAAUUGUUGAAAGGGAAGCGCUUGCAACCAGACUUGCAUGCCGUCGAUCAUCGUGGGUUCUCCCGCGUGCACUCGGCGGCGUUCAGGCCAGCAUCGGUUCCGGUGGUUGGAUAAAGGCCUUGGGAAUGUGGCUCCUCUCGGGGAGUGUUAUAGCCCUCGGUGCAAUGCAGCCUACUGGGACCGAGGACCGCGCUUCGGCUAGGAUGCUGGCGUAAUGGUUGUAAGCGACCCGUCUUGAAACACGGACCAAGGAGUCUAACAUCUAUGCGAGUGUUAGGGUGUUAAACCCUUCCGCGAAAUUAACGUGAACGGAGGUACGAACCCUUUAGGGCGCAGUAUCGACCGGUCCUGAUGUCUUCGGAUGGAUCUGAGUAAGAGCAUAGCUGUUGGGACCCGAAAGAUGGUGAACUAUGCCUGAAUAGGGUGAAGCCAGAGGAAACUCUGGUGGAGGCUCGCAGCGGUUCUGACGUGCAAAUCGAUCGUCAAAUUAGGGCAUAGGGGCGAAAGACUAAUCGAACCAUCUAGUAGCUGGUUCCUGCCGAAGUCACCCUCCAGG